UACGUAGGGUGCGAGCGUUGUCCGGAAUUGAUUGGGCGUAAGGGCUCUAGGCGGUUUGUCGCGUCGGGAGUGAAAACACCGGGCUUAACUCGGUGCUUGCUUUCGAUACGGGCAGACUAGAGGCAUGCAGGGGAGAACGGAAUUCCUGGUGUAGCGGUGGAAAAUGCGCAGAUAUCAGGAGGAACACCGGUGGCGAAGGCGGUUCUCUGGGCAUGUCCUGACGCUGAGGAGCGAAAGUGUGGGGAGCGAACAGG
rnacentral:rRNA from 1 species